AUACGUAGGUGGCAAGCGUUGUCCGGAAUUAUUGGGCGUAAAGCGCGCGCAGGUGGUUCCUUAAGUCUGUUGUGAAAGCCCCCGGCUCAACCGGGGAGGGUCAUUGGAAACUGGGGAACUUGAGUGCAGAAGAGGAUAGUGGAAUUCCAAGUGUAGCGGUGAAAUGCGUAGAGAAUUGGAGGAACACCAGUGGGGAAGGCGACUUGCGGGUCUGUAACUGACACUGAGGCGCGAAAGCGUGGGGAGCAAACAGGAUUAGAGACCCUGGUAGUCCACGCCGUAAACGAGGAGUGCUAAGUGUUGGGGGGUUUCCGCCCCUCAGUGCUGCAGCUAACGCAUUAAGCACUCCGCCUGGGGAGUACGGUCGCAAGACUGAAACUUAAAGGAAUUGACGGGG
rnacentral:rRNA from 1 species